ACUCCUACGGGAGGCAGCAGUGGGGAAUAUUGCACAAUGGGCGCAAGCCUGAUGCAGCCAUGCCGCGUGUAUGAAGAAGGCCUUCGGGUUGUAAAGUACUUUCAGCAGUGAGGAAGGUGGGUAUGUUAAUAGCAUACUCAUUUGACGUUAGCUGCAGAAGAAGCACCGGCUAACUCCGUGCCAGCAGCCGCGGUAAUACGGAGGGUGCGAGCGUUAAUCGGAAUUACUGGGCGUAAAGCGCAUGCAGGUGGUUUGUUAAGUCAGAUGUGAAAGCCCGGGGCUCAACCUCGGAAUUGCAUUUGAAACUGGCAAACUAGAGUACUGUAGAGGGGGGUAGAAUUUCAGGUGUAGCGGUGAAAUGCGUAGAGAUCUGAAGGAUACCGGUGGCGAAGGCGGCCCCCUGGACAGAUACUGACACUCAGAUGCGAAAGCGUGGGGAGCAAACAGGAUUAGAUCCCCUGGUAGGCUCU
rnacentral:rRNA from 1 species